AUGGUUUCCGCAGAAGCAUCGGCCUUAAAUGGUGAAUCACCAAAUGGAUCUCCAAAAGACCGAUCGAAAGUAUUGAACCCAUAUGAUGGCACUGCAAAAGUUGUAGAGCCGAUGUUUGCUUCAGGGGUUGCAAUUGGUUUUGUGUGUUAUGCAAGCCUGGUAUGGUGCCUAGUUCAGUUAGCAGGUGGACGAUUUGAUGCAGUGCAACAUUGA